GUGCCUACGGGCGGCUGCAGUGGGGAAUAUUGGGCAAUGGGGGAAACCCUGACCCAGCGACGCCGCGUGGAGGAAGGAGCCCUUCGGGGUGUAAACUCCUGUUGUAAGGGAAGAAGACAGUGACGGUACCUUACGAGGAAGCCCCGGCAAACUACGUGCCAGCAGCCGCGGUAACACGUAGGGGGCGAGCGUUGUCCGGAAUCACUGGGCGUAAAGCGCACGCAAGCGGAUGCGCGCGUCGGCUGUGAAAGGCACCGGCUCAACCGGUGCACUGCGGUCGAUACGGCGCGUCUGGAGUGCGGGAGAGGGAAGCGGAAUUCCCGGUGUAGCGGUGAAAUGCGUAGAUAUCGGGAGGAACGCCGGUGGCGAAGGCGGCUUCCUGGCCCGCAACUGACGCUCAUGUGCGAAAGCCAGGGGAGCGAACCGGAUUAGAUACCCCGGUAGUCAAA
rnacentral:rRNA from 1 species